AGGACAAACGCUGGCGGAAUGUAUUAGGCAUGCAAGUCGUACGAACCUUCGGGUUAGUGGCGAACGGGUGAGUAACACGUGGGUAACCUGCCUCGUAGUGGGGAAUAACUCGCCGAAAGGCGAGCUAAUACCGCAUAACACCUCUGGUGAGAUUCCAGAUGGUAAAAGCUCCGGCGCUACGAGAGGGCCCGCGGUCGAUUAGCUAGUUGGUCGGGUAACGGCCUACCAAGGCGACGAUCGAUAGCUGGUCUGAGAGGAUGGUCAGCCACACGGGGAACUGAGAUACGGCCCCG
rnacentral:rRNA from 1 species